GGCGGCGUUACAUGUAUAUUAUGCUUUCUUUACUUUUCUCCAACUGAAAACAAACAACUUCUAAUGAAUACAGACUUACAUGUCACUGGAAUGAUCAAAUCCUUCGAUAAGAUCGGCUUCAUCCGCGCUGGUGGCAGAAUCCGGGCCAGACCAGUGGCUGGACUCUUCAUCCGACGCUGUAGUUUGCUGGAGAGCUUCGCUCCAGAUGUAAAAUAGUUUGGCGCGACCAGGUUUUCGCGGCUCCUCAACUAAUGUGUGGAAGUGUGUCAAAGGUGUGUGUGGUGGGUCCGUGUAUGGAUCUGGUAAUUGGAUUUUCCGUUCUGAAACGGGUAUUGAAAAACAAAAAACGAGUGGUUAUUUGAUUUUCGUUUUAAAAUACAAAAAUUAAAAUUGAAAUACAAGGCGUUUUUCCUUUUCAUGAUCGAAAAGGGAUAUACGAUUUUUUUUUUUAAAUGCAUUCAUUUUCGUUUUAUAUUUAGAAUAACAAGAAAGUAAAAUCAGUAAGAGACAGAAACGAAAAAAGGUCCGUUUUUUCAUUUUUUGAGACCGGAAGUGGUCAUCAGCAAGUGUGGAGCCAAACGACAACAAGAUUCUCAGAGGGCGGAGCCAGAGAGCAGCGAUUGGUCAGACUGACUGAGAGGCAGAGAGCAGUGGUUGGUCAGACCAUAGAUAAUAUAGAAGACAGCGCGCUAGCGUAUCUAGUCUAUUUAUGUCUAUGGUUGGCAUGUCUGGUAGCAUCUCUGGCUGCUGUUGACCUUGUUUUUGGAGUAAAACACGGUGGAAGCUGAAUUAGUGAGGAUGACUCCUGCUCCUGUCAUCUCUAAGCUCCUCACACAUCUUUACCUGCACAUGAGGAAAAUCACUCCUGUAGAAUGCAGUGGUUCAUCAGAACCUCUGGGGAUGUCCUGUGGAUUCUGUGGAUCCUGUGGGUUGCAGGGUGGGUCCUACCUAGACCAGGCUGAUCCUGGACCAUCCCACAGAUGCUCAAUCAGAUGUGGAUGUGGGGAGUGUGGAACCCAGAUGUUCAGAGGGAGAUGAUGCCACAUCUGGUCCAGCUGAUGGAAGGUCUUGAAGUUCUCUGACUGGCCUCGACUGAAGAUGGUCGUCUCACUGGAUUUAAGGUUCAGAUGCUCAGUAACAAACUCCACCAAUGAGCCAAACAGGGAAGCUUUAGGUUUAUUAAAUGUUGCUAUGAAGGUAUCGCUGUUUUUCUUUGUGAAUGCAAUGUGCUCCAACUGAAACUUGAAUUAGAACUUAGAAGUAAAUCCUUCCAUCUGAAAGGAUUUAGUUGCAUUAAUAACCUCAUUAAUAACCUCAUAACAUUCUAAUUUUUAUUCCAGUGUUGGCUGGAAAUAGAAUCUCUGUAUUGAUUCAGGUAAAAACUGAACUUCACAGCAUGUUAGAGCAAAACAACCAGAUGAAAACUGUGAUGGUGUUGGAUUGUCAGACCGUAAUGUUGCAGCUCAAAGCAGCUUUUCUAUCUCAGUUCAUUCUGACAUUCAGCUAUGAAUCAACACAGCAGAUGGUGAUCCAUGCUGUGGAAGUCUCACAUCUCCUGAUUUAAUGGAGCUGCUUUGCACUUUUUACAAUGUUUAUUCACCAACACUUUAUUUAAUAAAAGUCCCAUCUAGUUUU